GGGGAUCUAGCUCAGGGGUAGAGCGCUUGCUUCGCAUUAAUUGCACUUGCAUGAGGUCUUGGGUUCGAUUCCCAAGUUCUCCA